GCUCUGUAGUGCUGCUCAAUGAAGGCAAGAAGCCUGAACUUGGUAAUUGAGAAUGAAUGUCAAGUAGUGUCAAGACGCCUCAAUUCAUAAGGCUGAUAACUCCUUCUGUGAUUGCAUUUCCAUUUUUACAGCUGCUUCAGUGGCCAAGUUUGCCAAUCUUGUUUGGGAAAGUAUACAUAUUACAGGACUCUUGGCACUGCCUCAGAAGAAACUAGUGUUUUUGAUUCUUUUGUAAGGAUUGUGGAAUUUUCCAACUAUGAUAGAGGUCAAUUUUAUAAAAUUAAUGAAGAAGUAGAAAGAAAACGGGGAGAAUUUUUUUUUUUUAAUGAAAGAAACAAGAAACAGAGGAGCACUAAUCUUUGUACUACUAGUAAUCACAAAUCUAAAAACAUGAUGCUGAGAAUAUAUUUCUUUGGGAAAUAAACCCCCUCAAUGAAAUGAAAAUGUACAGGUGAUUUAUAUGAUGAGGAAAGAAUUCAAGUACUGAAACAAUUUGGAACAAUAGCUGCUGAAGUGUAAAACAUAGAUAGAUUGAUAGAUAGAUAGAUAGAUAGGAAGAAUUAGAUAACCUACAGGGUCAGUAAUUUUUUCUGUAAGGGGCCAGGUAAUAAAUAUUUUAGGCUAUGCAAGCCAGAUGGUGUCUGUUGCAACUAUUGUACUCUGGCAUUGUGCAAAAGCAGCUAUUGACAAUCUGUAAACGAAUAAUUGUGGCACACGCCUGUAAUCCCAGCACCUCAGGAGGCAGAGGCAGGAGGACCACAAGUUCAAAGACAGCCUCAGUCAAUCCUUGGUACCCACAAAAAAACCCAAAAAAACAAAAAAAACUUUAUUUAUAGACACCAAAAUUUGAAUUUUAUAUCAUUUAUAUGUCAUAAAUAUUCUUGUUUGUUUGAAUUUUUUGGAGUACCAGGGAUUGGACUCAGAGGCCCUCGACCCCUGAGUCACAUCCCCAGCCCUAUUUUGUAUUGUAUUUAAAGACAGGGUCUCAUUGAGUUGCUUAGCGCCUUGCUUUUGCUGAGGCUGAAUUUGAACUCGCAAUCCUCCUGUCUCAGCCUCCAGAGCCUCUGGGAUUACAGGCAUGUGCCACCAUGCCCAGGUGAAUAUUUUUUUUUAACUAUUUAAAUGUAUAAAAAAGAUUCUUCUCUUAUGUGUCAUAUAAUUAACAGGUGGCAUACUAGAUUUGAUCUGUGAGUCAUAGUUCACAAAUCUCAGGUAUAAUAUGAGGCAGAUGCUUCAUAUCUGUGCCUGAAUCCCUUCUUAAAAACAGUUAAAUUUUGUGGGUGAUCAUAUAGAUCUUCAUAUAGGACAGGAAUUAAAUUAUGCUUAGUAGGGUCAUUAGCC
rnacentral:lncRNA from 1 species